UACAGAGGUCCCAAGCGUUGUUCGGAUUCAUUGGGCGUAAAGGGUGCGUAGGCGGCGCGGUAAGUCGGGUGUGAAAUCUCGGGGCUUAACUCCGAAACUGCAUUCGAUACUGCCGUGCUUGAGGACUGGAGAGGAGACUGGAAUUUACGGUGUAGCGGUGAAAUGCGUAGAUAUCGUAAGGAAGACCAGUGGCGAAGGCGGGUCACUGGUCCGGUACUGACGCUGAGGUGCGAAAGCGUGGGGAGCAAACAGG
rnacentral:rRNA from 1 species